UCUAUCAUCUGUAUACGUGUUGCAGCAGAUUUUGUUAUCCCGUUAAUUUCAGUUUUCUUAACAUGGGAAGAGUUAUAACACGAAUUCACUAAUAUUUUAACCUUGUGGCAACUUUUUUUAUCUUCUCCAUAUACGGCGAGGAAUUUCUCGAGGAAUUUUCUUCGUCGAAUUUCCGACGACAAAACGUAAACAGCCGAUAACAUAGGUAUAAUAGCCG